rnacentral:rRNA from 1 species
AACAGGAUUAGAUACCCUGGUAGUCCACGCCGUAAACGAUGUCGACUUGGAGGUUGUUCCCUUGAGGAGUGGCUUCCGGAGCUAACGCGUUAAGUCGACCGCCUGGGGAGUACGGCCGCAAGGUUAAAACUCAAAUGAAUUGACGGGGGCCCGCACAAGCGGUGGAGCAUGUGGUUUAAUUCGAUGCAACGCGAAGAACCUUACCUACUCUUGACAUCCACGGAAUUUGGCAGAGAUGCCUUAGUGCCUUCGGGAACCGUGAGACAGGUGCUGCAUGGCUGUCGUCAGCUCGUGUUGUGAAAUGUUGGGUUAAGUCCCGCAACGAGCGCAACCCUUAUCCUUUGUUGCCAGCGAUUCGGCCGGGAACUCAAAGGAGACUGCCGGUGAUAAACCGGAGGAAGGUGGGGAUGACGUCAAGUCAUCAUGGCCCUUACGAGUAGGGCUACACACGUGCUACAAUGGCGCAUACAAAGAGAAGCGACCUCGCGAGAGCAAGCGGACCUCAUAAAGUGCGUCGUAGUCCGGAUCGGAGUCUGCAACUCGACUCCGUGAAGUCGGAAUCGCUAGUAAUCGUGGAUCAGAAUGCCACGGUGAAUACGUUCCCGGGCCUUGUACACACCGCCCGUCACACCAUGGGAGUGGGUUGCAAAAGAAGUAGGUAGCUUAACCUUCGGGAGGGCGCUUACCACUUUGUGAUUCAUGACUGGGGUGAAGUCGUAACAAGGUA